GCAAUGUUCACACCAAGUAAAAUAGACUCCUCCAUAAAUCUUCCAUUUCCUUUCCAUUUCAUUACCAUCAAUAGGUACCAGUUGUUCCAAGAGGACAGUGACAUGUGUAACCACUAGGCAGUGGCACACAGGUACUGCCUUGCUGACACCGAUGUGGAGGAUCAUGCUCAGGUUCACACACUGACACAGUUUCUGUGCAAAAUGCACCUUUCCAUCCAGUGAGGCAGUCACAGCUACAGAGGCUCUAGGUUCAUUGAAGCACUUGACAGAAAAGAAUAGUGGAUAUGGCCAUGAAAGAGGUGACAAUCUGGGUUUCAUAUAUCUAUUAUUGUAAAUCUAUACAAAAAUAAAUAAUUG